UGAAUAUUAUGCACCAUCACUGACAAAAUGUGUUAAGGUACGAUAAUGUACCAACAUCCAGUUUAUAUUAAUAUUUAAUUUUUAAAAAAUAAUAAAUUAAUAUUUUUAAUAAUAAAUAAUUUACCGCUAUUAUCGAAGCGCUCACGUUAAUCCUUUCCACUAAAUAAUUUUUAAUCGUAUCUGAUUCUAUGUCUUGUCUUCAGUCUCUAACUUCGCUCCCCUUUAAAUCUCAUGGAUCUCCUCUUGUUCUUCAAAUCAAAUCCAUCCUGUUUUAACUUUAUCAAAAAAAUGUUAUUAUUCAGUCUCUCUGGGUUCUUAGCCACGUAGGUAUCCACGGUAACGAGAUAGCUGAUAGCUUGGCCAAAUCCUCGUCGAACUUAUUAAACCCAUCCCUUUCUUUGAUCCCCUGGUCAGAUCUUAUACAUAUUUUUCAAUGGUAUGUUCUUACACUCUAGUCUACCCAUUGGAACAGACUACCUGUAACCUUUAACUCUAAAUUCAAAUCCAUAGUCCCCGUCAUUUUAAAUAAUAUUUGGUUUAAGGAUCUUAACUUAUCAAGAUCUUAAAUUAUCAAAUUUAAUCGACUACAUGUGCGCCAUUAUCUUCUUCCCUUCCAUUCUUAUAAGGUCAAUCUUAACGAUUCCUUUUUCUACACACUCCAUUUAGAUUGAAGCAUUUGUGACUUACACAAUAUUCUUUUGGAUUGUCCAUUUUUAUUCAACGCCUUUUUCUUUUUAGUUCUAUUAUGUUCCUCAACAUUCCUUUUAACAUCUCCAACAUUUUAAAAUCAAAUCCCAAGUCUGUUAUUCUUCUUAUUAUUUCCUUCACCCGUGAGGCUGGCUUUAUUAUUUAAAGAUUUGUAAUUGUUUAUUUCUGUAUCAUUGUUUUUUAUCUAUG